rnacentral:rRNA from 1 species
CUACGGGCUGCUGCAGUGAGGAAUAUUGCACAAUGGGGGGAACCCUGAUGCAGCAACGCCGCGUGGAGGAUGACGCAUUUCGGUGUGUAAACUCCUUUUAUAUGUCAAGAAAAUGACGGUAGCAUAUGGAUAAGCACCGGCUAACUCCGUGCCAGCAGCCGCGGUAAUACGGAGGGUGCAAGCGUUACCCGGAAUCACUGGGCGUAAAGGACGCGUAGGCGGGUUGGAAAGUCAGGUGUGAAAUCCUACAGCUUAACUGUAGAACUGCACUUGAAACUUCUAAUCUAGAGUAUGGGAGGGGGAGAUGGAAUUAGUGGUGUAGGGGUAAAAUCCGUAGAUAUCACUAGGAAUACCUAAAGCGAAGGCGAUCUCCUGGAACAUUACUGACGCUAAGGCGUGAAAGCGUGGGGAGCAAACAGGAUUAGAUACCCGAGUAGUC